rnacentral:rRNA from 1 species
AGGCGGGAGGAAAAGAAACUAACAAGGAUUCCCCUAGYAACGGCGAGUGAAGCGGGAAGAGCUCAAAUUUGUAAUCUGGCACUUUCAGUGUCCGAGUUGUAAUCUCGAGAAGUAUUUUCCGCGCCGGACCGCAUACAAGUCUGUUGGAAUACAGCGUCAUAGUGGUGAGAGCCCAGUAACUGAUGCGGAUGCCCGGUGCUUUGUGAUAUACUUUCGAAGAGUCGAGUUGUUUGGGAAUGCAGCUCAAAUUGGGUGGUAAAUUCCAUCUAAAGCUAAAUAUUGGCGAGAGACCGAUAGCGAACAAGUACCGUGAGGGAAAGAUGAAAAGCACUUUGGAAAGAGAGUUAACAGUACGUGAAAUUGUUGGAAGGGAAACACUUGACGUCAGACUUGCGUUUCGGAGUUCAGCCGCAAGGUGUAUUCUUCGAUUUGCAGGCCAGCAUCAGUUUUCGGGGGUGGAAAAUCGUGGUUUGAAGGUAGCAGUUUCGGCUGUGUUAUAGCUUUCCACUGGAUUCAUCUUUGGGGACUGAGGAACGCAGUACGCUUUUUGCAAGGCUCUCGAGCUUUUCCUACUUAGGAUGCUGGUGGAGUGGCGUGGAUGAC